UAUUGCGCAAUGGGCGAAAGCCUGACGCAGCGACGCCGCGUGGGGGAUGAAGGUCUUCGGAUUGUAAACCCCUUCGGGAGGGAAGAUGGAGCGAGCAAUCGUUCGGACGGUACCUCCAGAAGCAGCCACGGCCAACUUCGUGCCAGCAGCCGCGGUAAUACGAAGGUGGCAAGCGUUGUUCGGAUUCACUGGGCGUACAGGGUGUGUAGGCGGUUUGGUAAGCCUUCUGUUAAAGCUUCGGGCCCAACCCGGAAAGCGCAGAGGGUACUGCCAGGCUAGAGGGUGGGAGAGGAGCGCGGAAUUCCCGGUGUAGCGGUGAAAUGCGUAGAGAUCGGGAGGAAGGCCGGUGGCGAAGGCGGCGCUCUGGAACAUACCUGACGCUGAGACACGAAAGCGUGGGGAGCAAACAGGAUUAGAUACCCUGGUAGUCCACGCCCUAAACUAUGGAUACUAAGUGUCGGCGGGUUACCGCCGGUGCCGCAGCUAACGCAUUAAGUAUCCCGCCUGGGAAGUACGGCCGCAAGGUUGAAAACUCAAAAGGAAUUGACGGGGG
rnacentral:rRNA from 1 species